UCAUAGUGAUCCGGUGGUUCUGAAUGGAAGGGCCAUCGCUCAACGGAUAAAAGGUACUCCGGGGAUAACAGGCUGAUACCGCCCAAGAGUUCAUAUCGACGGCGGUGUUUGGCACCUCGAUGUCGGCUCAUCACAUCCUGGGGCUGAAGUAGGUCCCAAGGGUAUGGCUGUUCGCCAUUUAAAGUGGUACGCGAGCUGGGUUUAGAACGUCGUGAGACAGUUCGGUCCCUA
rnacentral:rRNA from 1 species